rnacentral:lncRNA from 1 species
GCCCGGGAAGGAAUGCGGCAGGCGGAAAACUUGCGGAGAAAGAGCGCGGAGCGUCUGAGGGGCGCUGGGUGCUUGUUCCUAAAGGACGAGACACCGGGGAAGCUGGGCGGUAGUUGGAGUGGUGUUUUAUCCAGCGUGCUGUGGCUCUCCAACACAGUCUCGUUUCAUUUAAGUGAAUACCUAUAUUUUAUCCAGCAUCUAUAUUCAAGGGAUUCGUGAAAGAAUGCAGAUCUCUUAGGAUAUUUCAUCAGAAUCAGAACCGGGAUGCAGAUUCUACCUCUUGAUUCCUUUAUGGCUUUGAAACAGAAGAUGUUAUUAAAACAUGCAAGAUGCCCUUGGGAGCCUUGGUCAAGAGGACACAGCCUGGGUCACAGGCGGGGAGAAGGAGACAUGCUGGAACGAGCGGCACAGGCCUGUCAUCCCAGCUACUGAGGAUGAAGCGUGAGGAUCACAGACUCAGACCUGCCAGAGCCAUACAGUGAGCAACUUAGACUGUCUUAAAUUUUAACAAAACAAACCGAUAGAAGUGGAGAUGGGAAUGGGCUCACAUUGCGGAGGUCUAGUGCCUCGCAGCUGAGAGACCUUUGACUCAAUCCCCAAUAUAUCAAAAUUAAUGAAAAUUAAAGUGAUGCAUACAGUAAAAAAAAAAAAAAAAAA